GCUUACGGCCAUACCACCCUGAACGCGCCCGAUCUCGUCUGAUCUCGGAAGCUAAGCAGGGUCGGGCCUGGUUAGUACUUGGAUGGGAGACCGCCUGGGAAUACCAGGUGCUGUAAGCC
rnacentral:rRNA from 15 species